CAAGCUGAGCUCUACACCAAACACAUUGAGAUUUUGUUAUGCAUCUCCUGUCUGGUAUCAAAAGAUAAAACCCCUUGCAACAGUGUUAAAAUGUGUGACACCAAAUCCUGGCAGCAGUGAUGGCUUUACCAGUGACUUGGUGACAGCCCCAGCCCUCCUCUGACAUGAGCAUAAGAAGGAACAACAAUACCAUUUCAAACACAGCAUGCAUCCCAAACCUGUCAGUGAGUGGCAGGGGGUGGCAGUGCCUGUCACAUCUCUGCUUUUGGAAAAGAUCAGAACCCUGGUGGCACAGCCAUACUGCAGUUUCCAUAGCAGACCUCAGACAAGAUGUUCCCCAGGAGAGUUUUUUGAUAUCACCAUUUUUCAGAGAAUGGAACUCCAUUCUAUUGGAGAUCCCAUCCCAGGCAGUCUAGAAGUGAUUAUGGAGUAGCAGUGCAGCAGCAGCAUUAUUGCUGUGGGGAGUGCUGAUGAUCUUGGUUGCACUCAUUUCCCCAUGGGAAGACUUGCCUGCUUCUGAGUGCAGCCUUAAUUACAAAGCUGGCAUUACUUCCUAGUAGUGACGAAGGAAAAAAUUUCUUGUGGCUGAGAAACUCUACAUUGGUGGACCUUCUGUCACAAUUGUCAAACACAAGGAGAGAAAAUGAGUUAUUUGCAGAAUCACAGAAUGGGUAAUGCAAUGACACCAUUAUUUUAGUGAUCAAGGAUGUUCUACCUGAUGAAGAUAAUCCAGACAACAUUUCUUUUAUAAACUCAGUGUCUUUCUCUUUUAAAUGUUCCAUUUUCACCUACUAUGAAGAGACAACAAGAGCAUUUAUCCAACCCUGAAGAUGAAGCCACAGGCAGAACAACCAAUUUUCUGUUCUCAUGUGGUCAGUAUUCCAGCUUCAGUUUUA